UCCAGUUCUAAGUAAAUAUUUUAAGCUCCGAGGAGCGUGGCUCUCUGCUUUCCACUCUCCUGGCUUCCUUGAGGACAGCAUGGGCUCCACCAAUUUCCACUGAUGGGCUUCAGAUCAGCUCCAGAUUUCUUUCUGGCCUUUCAUUCUGGUGGAGAACCACUUUUUGGCUAUUUAGAGAGAGGAAAGGAGCCUCAGGGAAUCUCCUUUUUCUCUUUGAUGAUGGAAAACAGGCACUUUCUUUAUCUUUUAUGCCUUGGUGCAGCUGAAAGGUGCUGGAGCAGACCCUGGAAAGGGAAGAUCCUGCAGAAAGAGGAGAGGAUGAGCCCAUCCUUCCUGGAAAGGGUGGAGCAGGGUGGCAUCUGGCUCUUCAGGAUGUCAUGGAACACCACCCAUCAGAUCCUGGGGAUGACUUCAGGAUGGAACACCACCAAAGGAUGACAUUUGACUUGGAUUUUUAAAGUUCUAGGCAGAGCUUCUGCUCCGGGUCUGGUUGGUAACUGAGUUCGUAAUUUUGGCUUUCCCUGCUUGGCCACAAGCAGUGUGCUUUGAAAUGGGACGAUUCAUGAGGCAGUACUGGAGUUUUUCCCACCUCCUUCUCCUUAGUGCCUUCCCUUUCCUGCAUUUCUUGUGCUCCUUCAGGCUUUAUUGCACUGGUCAGGAAAGAUGGAUUUGAAAUAGCCGCAGCUUUACUUUGAAGACUGCUGCAUUAAAAAGAGCUGCUUAACUCCCUUUCUGUCAAGCUUAUGAUACUAAAAUCAAUAAUUCUCCCCCUUUUCCAACUGGUUUUACUGGUGUGAGCUGUGGAGAAGGGACUCGCCGUGACUGCAAUGCACUUGGCACCUGAGCAGAGAAAGGGCAGGUCAUGGAUAAAGACUGGACAGUUCUUCUCCUUGCUGCGACCUCUCCUGAUGGCUCAAAAAUUCCCAGGAGAUGAACCAGCUGCUCUAGGUUGGAAAUGGGCAAAAGCUCCCGCUAGGAGAGCUUGGCAGGGACAGAAGAAGAUGAUGUCCAAGCACCACUAGAUGUUGUCAUUACCCACAGCUUGUUCUGGAGGAUGCAUUCAUUAGAUCCUCAUGGGACAGCUUUGCAGCUCCUGGAAGAGCAGAAAGGCUAACUUCAGUGAAGGCAGUGGUACAGUGAGCCAGGAGAAGACUUCAUCCUGGAGCUGCAGUGAGUACAACCUGGACUGUAAACCAAAAGCUGCAGAGAGUUAUUACACACACGUGCACACAACAGAGCUCAGAGCCCGGCCACUGAGACCCUUCCUUGGGGAUCCAUAUAAAAUACCUCUCACAAAAGCUGCCCUGUGUGGAAGCAGAGGAACUACUGCUAGUGACGUUAAAAAUGAUUCAAAAUGAUUAAAAAAAAAAAAAAAAAAAAAAAUCCCACAACCCCUUUUCCACACACAUCCAAGUGGUGUAACUCUUAUCUUGCUGCCAGUCUGUUGGAGAUACCAGCACAGCUAAACAGCACACACCAUACAGGACACUAAAAACGCUGCCUGGGAAGGGCUUUUCAGUCGCUUCUCUGAACUGUGCCAAUGUAAAAAAUGUCCCCUUUGUCGUGGUGGUGAAUGAAUCCUCUUGUUCCCCUUUUUCCCUGGAUUUAUGUUAACCCUGGCUUUCAGCCGAGUUUGAUCUGCUCACUUUAUUGUAUUGCAAACAGUAGUCAAUGGCUCUUCAGCUUGAGAUCGCCUGGAUUUAUUUUCAGGUCAAGUCAACUCUCCUUGACCCAAGUCUGAACCAAAAUACAUUCCCAGAAGAUUCCCCCACAGGAUAUGGGAUCCAAAGACAGAGUGACAUUGUAAUGAGUUCAAGGUUUUGGCUCAGUACAACAGAGCCCCUGUUGGUGCAGGGAAGGCACUGGGCAAUCCUUAUUUCAGCAGAUUUUGUCACCCAUCAGUCACUUCCCUUCACUGAGCAGUAUCACACCAUGCAACCCCAGGAUGGUUUGGAUUGGAAGGGACCUUAAACGUCAUUUUGAUUCGUAAGCAGGGACAUCUUCUAUUAGACCAGCCCAAACACACUGCUGGUGCUCGUGGUCUGCAGGGGAGCCAGUCCUUAUGGAUGUGUUUGCGUGGCUCUGACAUGAUGCCUGCGUGGAAUUUGCUGUGCAGGCUUUAAGCAACUGAUGAGAUGGUCGGCAUUCUUUUGAUAUUUUUUUGUAAGGAAAAGUGGGAUGUGUUUUGGGGACUGCCUGGCGCAGCGGCAGAACCAGCUGAUACUGUCAUGAAGUGUAAAACACUGCUUUGAAGAUUUGGGAAUGAACUCAUGGAUUUAGCCUGGGUGAUAAAUCUUCCUUCAAAAUAAGGCAGCCUUAUGUUUGGUACAAAAGACUGUUUAUUUCUUCUACGGGAGAAAAAAAAAAAAAAAGAAAGAAAAGAAAUGGUGUAAUCAGCUAGGAUUAACUUUCCAGGGGCCCUGGACAGAAACUGAAGCCCAUAUUGCUUCCUUCUCAUGCUCGCAUUGGAUAAGCUGAGAAGUUUAAAACCUCUCUGGCUUCCUAUGGUUUUAGGCUAUGAGUUGCUGCCUGUGUGCCUUGAACCUAAAGCCAUUGCUAAGGACCCCAGCAGCAGAAAUUAAAUGUCCAAGUGUUUGGCUGGUAUGAACUGCCUGUUUCAACUAGGAGCCUGGCCCAGGUGUGGAAAAAAAUAGGGCUUUAUUCCUGCUUUCCACCUCCAAGAGGUAUUGAAUCCACAUGGCAAAUACACAACUAAGGUCCAUCUGCCUUAAUGCUGCAUUGAGUCUUUGUGGUUCAGGUGCACCGCCUUUGUUGUUCUGCCUGCUCGUGGUUAAUGUUUCAUCAGCCCUUUUUUAGUUUAUCUUUUUAUUUUAUCUCAUGUAAUUAGCUAGGAACAGCCCCGUGUGCGGUUUGGUGAUGCUUCAGAUUUCACACCUUGUUGGGAUGGAUGCUGUGAAAGCUGUCAGUGAGAGAGCGGGGCAAAGGGAAGGAGGAGAGUGGGAAGUCCUGCAGGAGCUUGGAUGUGUGAGCGCUCUUGGACAGAGUGGUCUAUGCAGUCUGAGUGAUAAGCAAAUCCCAUCUUUUCUGAUGGGUCAGGUUGGGUUAUCUGUGCCUGAGCUGGCUGAGAGUGUGACGGGGUCAAACAGGCAUCGAUUGUUUUAUGGCGCAAGAGCUGCUCAGAGGUCCCUGUUAUCUUGUGUGGGGAGCUUAAACUGUCCUCUCCCCUUGUUCCUCUGGAAUAAACUCCUUUGGAUGCUGAGGUAGCACAGGGGAAGGCCAUGAGCACGAGCAGUUACCAUACACUGAGCUGUGUGUUUGCUGAAAACCUUCCUGCAGCUAUUCCCUGAGGAUUUUUCUACAAUCCCCAGGUUUCUCCCGAGGAAAGAUAUGUUCCAGGAGACAGGUAGGGAAGAAAAAAGAGAGCAGGGAUGCUCCUCCUUACAAGAUUUGUGUGGACAGGGGCCUGCAGCCAGUCCCAUCCCACACUGUGGAAGCUGCCUUUGUGAGGAGACCUUGCUGUGUGCAAGGUGUCUGCCAGGAAAGGUCUGUCGGGGGAGACAGGACUUUAUUUGCCUCCAUAUGAUGGAAUUUAGGC